GCGGUGUAGCUCCAUGACCUGCUGGGAAAUGUAGUUCGGCUCCAAAUAGCCAACGGGUGACCGCCAGGCGCGGCGGUUGCGACGGGGCAGUCCCACUCCCAUCCCACCUACACCCCACCCCUGCGGCUCGGCCGGAUGUGGGCUGUCUCUCGGCCCGGAAGAUCUGCGCGAGGCGGCGGCUGUUUCCGCCAGAGCGUCCAGUGUGGGUCAAAGGACUGCAGAGGCGACGCGGAUCUGGCAGGUGAUAUAAAGGCAGCGAGACAUUCUGACCAGUGUUGGCUCUGACGCUGAAAACCACCCAGGCUGCUCAAGACGUGAGCGGGAUCUCCCUGAGGACGUGGAUUUACUCACAGCCUGACCCCUAGGAGAGUCGAUGGCACAUGGUUUGGAGAGGGUUGGGAGGGCACAACGCCUUUCCAGACACAUGGUCCUCCAGAUGUCCCACCCCUCACCUCCACAUACCGGCCUGCAGAGCAUCGGUAGGCUCUACAUCCAACUUGAACUCAGCUGAACUCAGAACUCUUGAACCGGCGCUUGAACUCAGAACCCGGCGAUCAAAAGUCACAUGCUCUAUGGACUGAGCCAGCCAAGUGCCCUAAACACAUAUUUUGGACACCCUGCCAGGAUGCUGGAGAAAGAAGGGUGAAAAAGGCAUAGGUGUCCUUUGGAGCUCAUGGCCCAGUGUGGGGUUCUAGAAGUCGCUCCAGAGCUAAUGCAAGUCGUAUGUGUGGUGAGCUGACUUCUGCCACAGUUAACUGCUUCUGUCUUUCUGCUUUCUGUCUUUCUGAUUUUUAUCCCCAACUUUUUGUUUUGAAAAAUUUCAAACCUACGGAAAAGUUGAGAAGAGUUACCUGGAUUCACCAACUGUUCACAUCUUACAGUACUUGGUGAUUCUCUUACCUACACACAUGCAUGAACUUUUUUUUUCAUUUUUUCCCCCUCUGAACCAUUCGGUAAUGAAUCUCAAACAUUAUCAGAUAUUACUCCAAAUACCAGAUACCCUAAGUACUAAGAACGAGGAUAUAAGGAUACU